UGAAUUAGAUUAGAAGAACAGUUGGCUGGA
rnacentral:piRNA from 1 species